rnacentral:lncRNA from 1 species
CACCUCAGCUGUUUCUCUGGAUUCCCUUGCUGUUUCUUGGUACCAUCUGGUUUUGGGGGCAGCUUUGCUCACAUCUUUUCUUUUUGGAUUUGCAGAUCUUCCAGCAAGCUCUUCCAUCCUGCUCGGUCUCUGUGUCUGCUCCUUCCAGGAGCCAGUUUCUCUGCAUGUUCCACAGGGCAGCAGAAAUUAGAGGACAAUAAAAUCACAGCUAAGUGCACCAUAUUCAUCAUGUAAUACCUUUUAUCCUUUCCUGGAACUGGCUUUGGCACGCAUGGUUUCGCAAAACUGCCUCGGUGACAGGAGUGAUAUUUUGAUCUGCUUCUGGCAGUGGACUUACUGGAGCCUGGAGAUCGUAAUGCCACUGGAGCAGCACUCUUUUAGGAGGAGAAUGAUGUUUGUUGUGUUUUGCUACUUUUUCCCCUCAGUGAACCAUAGACAUGCUAAUUGUAAGGGUCAGAGAAAUGGGGUGCCUGUGAGGUGCAGAGUCUCCCCAGUGACUCGGUGCUUUUGCAUGGGUUGGUGA